rnacentral:tRNA from 5 species
GCGGCGGUGCCCGAGCGGACAAAGGGGCUGGGCUCAAGACCCAGUGGAGUAGAUCCGUCAGGGGUUCAAAUCCCCUCCGCCGCA